rnacentral:lncRNA from 1 species
ACCGGUGACAGUGCGAUGACGAGGACGUCGAGCGGAGGAUGAUCCAAGAAAACGGAUAGGAUCAAACAAACAAUUUUGAUACUAGUAUCAAGUUCGUGUCGGAAUCCAGGACACAUGAAUUUUAUCUUCUCACUGAAAUUGUAUCCUGUUGUGGGUUUGUAAGUUAUUAGGCAAAAGGGGAAAAAAAAUCAAAAUGCCUUUUGGCAGGAACACCAUCAGAUCACAAUCUACACCAUGUGGCCGAAUGAAUGGCAAUCAGAUCAUGUGCCAGAACAGUUAUCCCACGAGGCAAACCUGUCCUACAUGCCCCAGCGAGCACGGGGAACUCAUGUGUCCGGGAUGAUCCAGAUGCUAGUACAUAGCAUGAUCAAUCAGGCGCCUCGGGCUUUCAUGAACAAGACGGAGCUCGUGAAGAUCAAUCGAAAGGGAUGUUUUGUUUGUCGCCCUUAGGUGAGGAUGACAAGCCAUGCCUUUUAACGCCCAAUUUUAUUCAGAGAUUCAGCUUCUGGAGCAUACUGAAGUCAAGUCACUGCGGUGUGCGAAUGUGAAUGUAUGGUAACUUUUCAGACCAUGAGUCCUAAGAAAGGAGAGCAUGAAGAAACGGGGAUCGGAAACUUAACCAAGGAACAGGAACCACCGGCGAAAUUUGCAUGGCAUGGGUAGUGUUAUAUUCUUGACCAGUGCAAUGGCAUGUCCAUUUCCUGAAGCAAGUCCAGAGUAGUAUAUUUGUUCUACAAAUGACUUCUGUGCACCAGGUUUGUCGGUAGCUUUCUGCUGGUAGGCUGGAAAGUCUGCAAAAGUUUGUAACAUGUUCACCUGGUACCAUUACCCCAGGUUCGAAUUCCUACCUGUGAGAGGCGGUGUCGCAAGCUUUUGCCUGCCCUUUUGGCAUCCUUAGUCAGAUGGAUAUGCAAAAGGUUACCGGCUACGUUGUUGUGUAGAAUGCUUACCAGAGGUUAUGCCUCGAUCCUGGUUACUUCUGUUUGGCACUUCCAGAGGUUUGCAGCUUACCGCGGUGAUGCUUUUGUUCUUUCGGUAAUUCUUUUCAUACAAACUUCGGGUGCCAUUCUUCUUCAAUUGUUUGCCGAGCAUGAAAAAUCGUAAUUCUGACAGAGCAAUAUGUUGUCUGGUGCAAAACAGAGGAUUUGGCAUCACCGUUCUGACAAGCAAUCCGCCAACAGGAAAUUCUUCCAAACUUCCAAGUCCAGCACGAGUUUGUAGAACAGCGCGCGCCACCUCUGCAUAUGCUAGGAGCGAGCGUAAAGAAAAUUAUGAUCAUGUAAGAGAAAUAUAUGUGAAAGGCAAUGAGAACUGCAGCGGAGAGCACACCUUAGCUUUCUCCUUGCACCGCCUUUUCUUUGCCAGAUGUUCCUCGAGAUAUCAAACCAACGGCAAGAAGUAACGUAAGUAGCCUGUGACAAAUGGCACUUGAUCCAAUCGAAAAUUUACGUGCAUGGCACCCCGUACAAAUUUACAAAAUACUUUUUUUAAAACGAAAAUUUAAAAAUAUACUUGCAGCGGAGUUACGCAGGAGGGAGUCAUCUGCCAUCAGGGAUUCCAAGUAGACACAGAAGCAGCUCGUCCGCAUAGCUGCCAAGUGUAAACAGAUUGAUGCAAUACAUAUGGUUGAUGUCUGUAAAAGAAACAAGACCAAGAAAUGAUUGUAUGUAACAUCCAGGUUAUUAAGAUCUCGAACUUGACAGAAAAGCGGCAAAGGAUGAUAUUCACAUAGGAAGGAAGGAGGGUAGCGUGCACCUUAGCGCUUAGGAGAGGAGGUUGUCUAGCUGCUGGCCACAAAAUAAUAUUUUGUACCAAGCAUUUGAGCAUGCAGAGACGAGGGCUCUGGCUGCAUGUUGCCAAGCAGAGUGCUGCUGGACACUUGCCUCGUCAGUCACUACUAAUUCAGGGAUGUCCCUCACUCUGUCCCAGUAAUCUCCUCCGGGUUUGCAUUUUCUUACCAGUGCAGGGUAGUUAAGAACGGUGAAACUUUCUAGGCUAGGCAGCCUCUGCAGGAGACCUUCAGGUAAAGCAUCCAUGGCCGGACAGUCCGAAAUAUCUACGAACGUGAGUGCUACCAGAUCAUGCAUCCCUUCAGGCAAUGAUGGCAGGCUGGCACAGUCUGCCAAUUCAAGGCUUCGUAGGUUUGAAAGACACUGCAUAUCAUUCAUGGACUUCAAGCUUGGGCAUUUACCAACUACCAAUAGUUUUAACGUGUUAUGGCAAUCCAAUUUGGCAGGUAUAGACUCGAGUUUAGAACUUCCCCAGAUAAUAAGAACUUUUAGACAGGCAAAGCAUGUUGGAAACGACACUAAGUUGGGGCAGUCACUAAUGUCCAAGGAUUCCAAAUUGCACGGGCCCUCAUACUCAGAGGGAUCAACCGAGAGUGGGGCAGGUGAUAAACCCGUGAACUUUUUAUUCUCACUAGUAUCAUGGCUUUCCUCACUCUGGCCAAGAUCAUGUCAUGUUGCUGAACUUAAAUGACUUGCAACAAGAGAAAGGGAUGAUAAAUGUUGUUAAACCUGCUGCUCUAUGAAGGAGUGCUUUAUUUCCUUUCACGAUCAAGGAUUUGAGUACUGGAACCUUAGGUAGAGCUGUCAACUUAGGGCAGUCCACAAUUUUCACUGCAUCAAGCAAUGGAAAAGCAACUGAUGAUACUACCCCCACAUCAGUUUCCUUCCACCUCUCUAAGAGUUCCAUCUUCUCCAAAGCCAAUAACUUUAAUUUGGGGAAUAUCUGUAGAGAGUGACUGCACUCUUCUUCAACAAGUUUGCACAGCCAAAUUAAACUGCUGCACAGGUAUGCCAAAUUACCCAUCAAUUCUAGCUGAAGGACCUCUAGACACGGAAGCUCCCACACUGACGGAAUACUAGUUCAGUUUGCACAACCAAUCAAAGUGAGCUCAACAAGUUUAUGCAAGGUCAUGUUGUUUGUCAUCCACCUUGGGAACUGUGUCCCUAAAUACUGAUUUAUUUCUAGAACUUUCAAAUUGCCGUGAAGUUUCAGAGCUUCAAAGACUUCCUUAGAAACAUCCACGUGCAAAUCUUUAGACAUGCGUACUUGUGUGUGCCGAGAUGUACGUGUACCCCAGCAAAAUUUCAGCUGCUCAAUAUUUGUUUUAGUCUCAAGAUCAGCUUCUCUGGCCUCUAAUGGAUUAGUUAGUCUCAUCAAACCAUAUAUCUGUAGCUUGCCACAGAGUUUUAAAUUUCUGAUCUCCUUGAUACCACGGUCAGGAUCAUCCCCAACUAUGUACAUGGUAAGUGUUUGUAAGGAACUGAGUUGGCCAAGACCAGCUGGCAUGCACAUUAAACUGCUACAUUUGUCAAGGUAAACAUGGCGAAGAUUGACAAUAUAUUUCAUGCCCUCUGGUAGCUGAAUCAGAUUACUGCAGCCAUUGAGCAUCAAUACUUGUAAAUUAUAUAGUGCACUUGUCGCUUCAGGUAUUGCUUUUAUGCGGCUGAAAGAUAAAUCUAGGUAUCUCAAGUGCUUCAUGAAUGCCAGCUCAAACGAAAAUGCUUUACUCUGAUGUAUGUGAAGACCAAGCACCCUCAAAGUGGAAAUUGUGAAAUUAGGAUGUGGGUCACUAGUCACAAGAUUCUUACACAAAGAAAACAUACUACGGAUGAUUCGACAAUGCUGCACUGCUAAAUCAAUCUUGUGAGGAUGAGGGUAAGCCAGAUGAUGGAUGUCCUCUGGAUUUUUUUUAAUGUCAGAAAGUUUUUGCAAGCACAAAACUCUCAUUACCACUUAUUACUACUGCAAGAUCAUGCAUCAGAUCAUGAAUUUUGAAUGUUACCACAUCAUGGUACCCAUAGUUUUCCUUUCCCAACGAAAAUGUUUUCCUUUCAUUGUACGCAUAGUAUUCCUUUCCCAAAGACCCACGACUUAACAUCUUGGAAAAAGGAUCUCCAAACUAGCUGUGAAAAGAUAGCAUGGCCUUUUGCUUCCAGAUCAGAUGUCCUUUCAGAUGGAAUAAAUCCAUUUGCUAUCCAAAGGUGUAUCACUUCCAACUUAUUAAUCUCAUAAUCCUUGGGGAAUACAGCACAAAAAAAACAAAACACUGCUUCAUGUGAGAUGGAAAAUGUUUAUAGCUCAGCAUUAAUGCUGCACGUAUUGGGUUUUCCUCAUCCUCCCAAGUAUUGCUUUCAAGGAUGGUAAACCAAUCACUUAUCUCAAGUUUUGUACUCAUCAAGCCCCCAAUACUCUUGAGAGCUAAUGGAACUCCUUGACACUUGCAAGCAAUUUUAUUACCGAUCCUAAUAAGAUCAGAAGACUCCAACUGACUCAUGCCGAAUGCUCUUCUACUGAAUAAAGUCCAAGAAUCUUGUUCACUGAGGGGUUCCAGCAAGAAUGGCUCUACUGUUCCCAUGAUAGAUGCAACUUCCAAAUCUCGGGUUGUCACAAUUAUUGCACUCCCCACACCACAUGAACCAAAUAGUAUUCUUAGAGCAUCCCAUUUCUCAACAUAUUUAUUCCAAACAUCAUUCAAUACAAGAAGACCUCUUUCGGCUCAAUUCUUCCCGGAGGCGCUGCUGUAGCAACUCCAUGUUAUCAUUCUUCAACCCACAAUCAUACCCAAUUGCAGAAUCAAUAACCUUCUUCACAAUAUCUGGGACCCUGAACUUCUCAGAUACACAAACCCACAAAUGCUUUUGGAAACCCUUUUUAGCCUCGUCAUCAUUGAAGAUCAGCUGUGCCAGAGUUAUCUUGCCCAAUCCUCCUAUCCCGACAAUACAAGAAAUGGACAAUUUCUCACUCUCGGCACCAAGCUGUUAAAGGAUAGGUUUCGGUUCUUGUAAAAGAAUUUUAUGUGAACACGUCAAAUGAACGAGGUGGUAUUGGACACAUAGAUAUGUUGGUUAAAUCUUAUUUUACAGAUAGAUAUUGUAUAGAUAGAGGAGGUUUAAACCAACUAUAUCUUGUGUCACACAUUGUAAUCAAACUCUGUAAUCUGUUGGGAAUUCCCCAUAUAUAACACGAAACCGUGCGCUAGCCUGAGUAGGCAGCCACGUUCACCCAAUUACUAUUAUUUCUUUCAUGGAAAUCAGAGCUACUUCCUCAAAAUACAUCUAAGCUGCCGCAGCUAUGGCUUCCAGUUCCUCGUCGUCGUCAUCAAGUGCUCUCGGGCCGCCCGUCUCCGAGAAGCUCACGCGAGAGAACUUCAUCCUUUGGAAGGCUCAGGUGUUGUUGCCGAUCAGGGGUGCUUGUCUUCUUGGCAUCCUUGACGGCUCAUCCCGGCACCACCGAAAACAAUUCAAGAUGAUGAGAAGAACAUCAUCUCCAACCCGGCGUACGAGAUCUGGUUGGUGCAGGACCAGCAAGUACUCGGCCAUCUUGUCAACUACAUGUUGUCCACAGUGUUGGCGCAGGUAGCUACGUUGACAUCGUCGUCCGAAGUUUGGACGGUAUUAGAAGACAUGUACUUGGCACAAUCAUGUCCACGAGUAACCAAUCUACGGAUGCAACUUGCAAGCCUCAAGAAGGGAAGCAUGAACAUCGCGACGUACUUCAACAAGAUGAAGGCUAUCGGAGAUGAAAUUGCUGCUGCGGGGAAGCCUAUCGACAAUGAUGAGAUGAUAUCCUUUAUUCUGAAUGGUCUUGAUUUUGAAUAUAAUCCCAUUGUUUCUUUUGUUUUGGGUCAGUCAGAUCCAAUCUCUAUCGAUGAUCUCUAUGCUCAAAUUAUGGCUAAUGAGAUGCGGCUGGAUAUGUUUGAUCAACGUUUAGGAGGUCACUAUCAAUCGUCAGCAAAUUCAGCUUCUAGAGGUCGAGGAGGCUUCAACCCUCGUGGUCGCGGUGGAAACUGUGGGUGAGGGUCAAGCGACCGUGCUGGAGGGCGCAACAACUUUUCAACCACCAGCAACUCCACUAACAGUAAUUUCAAGUCUGGAGGACAGUCAAGCAGACCUCGGUGUCAGAUAUGUAGCAGGACAAAUCACACUGCUAUUGAAUGUUGGCACCGGUUUGAAGAAGAUUUUCAGCCAUCAAAUAACAACAAAUCAAGCUUGGCCACAUAUGGUGUUGACACUAACUGGUAUAUGGACAGUGGUGCGACUGAUCAUAUUACUAGGGAAUUGGACAAGAUGACGGUACAUGACAAGUAUGGUGGUCAAGAUCAAAUACACACAGCGAAUGGUUCAAGUAUGAAAAUUAGAAGUAUUGGUCAUUCAACUUCACAUACCCCAGCUCGCAAUCUUUUAUUGAAAAAUAUUUUGCAUGUUCCUAGCGCUCAUAAAAGUCUUGCUUCAAUUCAUCGUCUUGCCUCUAAUAAUAAUAUUUUCCUUGAAUUUCAUCCAAAUUUUUUCCUCAUGAAGGACCGGGCAAUGAAGAAAACUCUUCAUCAAGGCAGGUGUGAAGGAGGCCUUUAUCCCUUAGUUUCCAGUUCUUUUGAAGCAAGCACAAAUAAAGUAGCGUUUGGAGUUAAUAAGUCGUCCAUGUAUAGAUGGCAUAGUCGUUUGGGUCAUCCAUCUUUCUCUAUUGUUAGGCAUGUUUUGAAGAACAAUAAGUUGUCAUUUCUAGAUGAUACUAGUAAUAAUUUAGUUUGUGAUCCUUGUCAAAGAGCCAAGAGCCAUCAACUACCUUAUGCAAAUUCCAAUAAUGUGUCUACUUUUCCUCUCCAAUUGAUCCAUUCUGACGUGUGGGGUCCAGCUCCAGAAUCUGUUGGUAGACACACAUAUUAUGUAAGCUACAUCGAUGACUAUAGUAAAUAUACAUGGAUCUAUUUGCUUCGAAAGAAGUCUAAAUUUUUUCAAGUCUUCCAUAAUUUCCAAAACCUUGUUGAGCGCAAGUUUGAUAGGAAGAUUCUAUCCAUGCAAAUGGAUUGGGGAGGAGAGUAUGAGGGAUUGCAUUCCUUCUUCCAGAAAAUUGACAUCUCCCAUCGAGUUUCAUGUCCUCAUGCUCACCAAAAAAUGGUUUUGCAGAAAGAAAAUAUAGGCAUAUAGUAGAGGUUGGGCUUGCUCUUCUUGCUAACGCUUCAAUGCCCCUGAAAUUUUGGAAUGAAGCUUUCCUAACCGCUACUUAUUUGAUUAAUCUUUUGCCUAGCAAAGUCAUCAAUUACCACACGCCAGUAGAGCUCCUUCUUCAAGAAAAACUCAACUAUGCGUCUCUUCGUGUCUUUGGAUGUGCAUGUUGGCCGAAUCUUAGGCCUUUCAAUACGAGAAAACUUGCCUUCCACUCAAAAAGAUGUGCCUUUCUUGAUUAUAGCUCUAUUCACAAAGGAUUCAAGUGUCUUGAUAUUCCUACUAGGUGUGUGUAUAUCUCUCUUGUUGUAAUCUUUGAUGAAUCUAUUUUUCCUUUUGAAACUCUCCAUGAAAAUGCUAGUGCUCGUCUUCAUCAAGAAAUUCUUCUUUUACCGGAUCAUCUUUUGAAUAAUAGCUCAGGGGAUGUAAGUUGUAAUGCUAAUACUACUGAUGAUCAUAACCCAAACCAUGGUUCUAGUGCUGUCACAUGUGCAGGAAGAAUCUGGAGAAAAUUUGGCACCAAACAGUGCUUGGAUUGCUCAAAACCGGCAAGAAAUUGGAGGUUCUCCAUACAAUAAUAAUCUGACCGGCACUGAAAUUGGAGGAGAUUCGCCAGCACAUGCGGGUCCUGACUCCCAGGCAGAUCUCCCUGCGUCGCUUGUUCGCCAGACACAAUCACGCAUAGCACCGUCUUCAUGUGCCGCGCCGUCUUCGCCCGACAAGCCGUGUAGCGAGCCACAAUAGGCGGGCGAGCCGAGUCACGUGCCCAGCGCAGGCCGCGCAGUGCCUGGCGAGCCGCGAUUGGUGGGGAGCACACCACGCCCCAAGACAUCGCAUGGAGCUAGCACCUCGCCCGCAUCUGCCUUGGACUCAGCGAAGAUUCUCCCUCCGGGAUCUUCUGCGAAUACUACUCCGGGUGUAACUUCGGAAUCUGAGUUUGUUUCCUAUCCAACACCAAAUAUUCCUCCUCCUAGGACCAGAUCUCAAAGUGGCAUUGUUAAAUAAAAGCAAUAUACUGAUGGGACUAUUAGAUAUGGGUUCUUCUUGUCUACAGGAGAGCCACAUACUCUACAGGAAGCACUUGGGGAUCACAGAUGGACAAAAGCAAUGGAAGAGGAGCUUAUGGCGCUUCACAAAAACAAGACUUGGCAUUUGGUUCCUCCUUCUAAAGGUAACAAUCUCAUUGAUUGUAAAUGGGUGUAUAAAUUGAAACGGAAAGCUGAUGGAAUUAUAGAUCAUUAUAAAGCAAGAUUGGUUGCUAAAGGAUUCAAACAAAGAUAUCGUAUUGAUUAUGAAGAUAGUUUUAGUCCUGUUGUGAAGAUAGCUACUGUUCGGCUUGUACUCACUAUAGCCAUCUCAAGAGGUUGGUGUUUGAGGCAGCUAGAUGUUCAGAAUGCGUUUCUUCAUGGUGUUCUUGAGGAAGAGGUUUACAUGAGACAACCUCCAGGCUUUGAGGACGCAAAAUUUCCAAACUAUGUUUGCAAGCUAGAUAAAGCUAUUUAUGGGUUGAAACAAGCUCCUAGGGCCUAAUAUUCACGGUUGAGUUCAAAAUUACUUGAUCUUAGGUUUAGAGCAUCCAAGUUUGAUGCGUCACUAUUUAUUUACACCAAGUCAAACACAACCAUAUUUAUACUCAUAUAUGUUGAUGAUAUCAUAGUAACAGGGUCCUUCAUGGAUGUAAUUUCAGCCUUGCUUACAGAUCUUCGAGCUAACUUUGCUCUUAAAGAUUUGGGUAAUCUAAAUUAUUUCCUUGGCAUUGAAGUCAAACCAACUCAGGGAGGCAUUAUAUUGUCACAAACAAAUUAUGCUUCAGAUGUGUUGAAGAGAGUUGGCAUGACAAAUUGUAAGUCUUCUCCUACUCCUUUAGCAGCUUUAGAAAAGUUAUCCUGUCAAGAUGGCACGCCAUUAUCAUUAGAAGAUAGUACAAAAUACCACAAUAUUGUUGGAGCAAUUCCCCAUAUAUAACAUGAAACUGUGCGCUAGCCUGAGUAGGCACAAUUACCAUUAUUUCUUUUACAAGCAGCAUUUGCACUAUUUUCUUUCUACCUCCCUCCCUUCUAAUAACAACUUGCUCAUCAACAUAUGAAUGUGUCCGCAUUCUCUCAUCCAUUGGCAUGGAAGGAUGUAUGCUGAAUCUAAACUGAUUCAUUUGUCGAACAAGUUCAUCAAUCCGUCCACUAUCUGUUGGAGCCUCUUUCCUAUCUUGUAGGUAAAUAGCAAAGGAUUAUAAUGAGGAGAGAAGAAGCCCCUUACAUCACCAUUUAUCUUAUGGCCAUGACGAAGUGCCUCACGGUGGAGUGCCUCGUAACGCAGCUCAUCAAGGGCGUUAUCAGCAUCACAGGCAGCCAACUUUAGCUGAGCGAUCCAGGAUUUCACAGCAGGCUUCUUGUAUGCUUGUUCCUUGGCAUCAGAAACCACUUGGUUGAUGGCAAGCAGCAAGUUAUGCAACUUCUGACGCCUCUGUUGAAUGCUACCAAUGAAGAUAAACUCUGUGGAAAGAGACUCGCCAGGCAAAAGAGCAGAGAGUAACUGAGCCAUGGAUCAAAGCUCAGCAACUAUAGGAAUAUGAAGAAAUAUAAUAGCGCAGGGCCGGUAGCGUGGAGUUAUAAACGCAAUCGGAUCCCUGGGCGGCGUAAUUUUACAUUCUCGCAAAUUUACAUUUCACCAAAACGGGUCGUACACUUUUCCUCAUAGUGGGUUCCACAUUGGAGGUGAGGUUUUCUAUUGAGGCAAUUUUGGUGUAAAUAUUUACAUUAUGAAGUAACGAAAUUCCCCCUGAAACUGUGUUCAAGAAUGCUCCCAUGACGGGAUAACUUUACUUUUUUGUUGGAGAACACCUUCGCAUGGGGUGUCAAAGAGAAUGCGCCUGUGACGCGAUAACCUUACUUUUCUGUUUGAAAAAAACACCUACGCACGAUGUGUUAAAAGAAUGUGCUUGUGACGCAAGUCUUAUCAUUUUUCUAUAAGAGAAAGAGAUAAGAAAACACGUUCACACGAGGUGCAAAAGAACGCGCCUAUGACGCAAGUCUUAUCAUUUUUCUAUAAGAGAAAGAGAUAAGAAAACACCUUUGCACGAGGUGUAAAGGAACGCGCUUGUGACGCGAGUCUUGUCAUCUUUCUAUAAGAAAAAAAAAUAAGAAAGAGGCUUCACAUAAGGUGUCAAAGAAAUCAAACGAAUUUACUUUUAUGUUAAUGAGAGGUACAUCACAUGCGAAGGUGUCAAAGAAAGAUAUCGCGAUCAUCAAAAACCAACUAGAAAGUAAAAGAAAGAAAUUAACGUCGAAAGCAACCUAAAGGUUGCCAUUUUGACACACAAGAGUUAGACUUGCGAAGGCUUUCAGCUAAAUGAAUCCAUCAUAGGCUAUGUUCAAUUAUCAAAGAUUACAAGGAAACAUUUUCCUCUGCAUCUCUAUCACUUCCUGAAGGCGGGAGGGGGGGAUGUUUUUUUGCAAAAAAACCUAUUCCAAAAGUGAUCGAGACUUGAAGAAAAUCAAAAGUUUACAAUUCAAAAGGGAAGUUCGAUUACACAGCCCACACGACUAGGGGCUGUGCUAGGAACAAAAGCAUCUAAUACAAAACAAUAUUCUUUAUCCUGGGGGCACUUGUUUUCGAUCUUAACCUCCGCAGCACACGAUUAAAAAUCUGGUGCCUGGGAUCGACUAACCCGUUCACCACCAGUAGAAUUGAGCAAGUGACGUAGUGCAUAGCUGCGCAAUGGAUAAUAAGAACAACAAAAACGCCAAAAAUCGUCAAAAGAUUUAUCUGGGUACUUAGCAUGAUAAACCGUCCAAGAAUGACCGCUGACACACAAGCCUUCUCGGCAAAAUGUUUUGGGAAUUAUUUCACACACAGUUCCAUCACAUGGAACCUACGUCAUAGUCAAUAUUUACAACAAAAUAAAUACAAGUCUUUCCGGUCAACAACAAGUUUAUCAGGCGUAAGCAUUCUUUACACCUUCGACUCCUCUUCAGUUGAGGGCGGGUCUUGAGGUCGAGCAUCGGGCAACAACGAUUCUUGGGGCUGGGAAUCCUGAGGCUCCUCAGACAUGGACGAUGCUGAUGGUUUCACAGUCUCAGGAGCAGCGGACACUGAGGACAACACCUCCGCAGCAGCAGAUUGAUGGCUGGGUUCUGGGCCGGCCAUUGAAGUGGAGGAGUAUAGAGGCCUUGAGUAGCAGAAUCUCCAUGAAGCGGUUGAAGCUUGCGAAUCUCCAUCAUUUGUUUUGCCCGGCCAAGAUAGAACUAUGAGGAAAUAACCUCAUAGCAUCAAAAGAUAUUUCAAAGCAUCCUCAAAAUUGCAAAGAAGAAAAGAGUAACAGAGAAAAAUUACCUUUCCAAGAUGGUCAACAGCUUUUUUACGAGCACCUUCGCAGCCACUUUUAAUCCAGAACUCCCUGAGAAAUAACUUAGACACGGUAUCGACAUUACGGCUAAGGACUAGGAUUUCGGAGUGGUUCGAAAACUUGUAACCGCGUGAGCCAAAUUUUUUGAAGUGAUUGUAGCCCUUGCCCUCGAGAAUCUGAAUCAGGGAUUCGACACUCGUACCCACAACAUAAUCGCCAACCUUGGAUAAAAUCCCUGGCAAGAAUUUCAAUUCAUCUGCCAGCCAUUGAAAGAGCUUUCCAGUAUUUCCGGUUGCAGGGAAAGGCUGUGGUUCAGCACCAAACUGGUUAAGAGUGUCGCGAUAUUGAUGGUUUAUAUGAAGGCCCCAUUGCCAAAUCCUGGACUCAUUUUCCUCUAGAAUUUUCUCCUGGGAAGCAUUGACUUGCCUUAGCUCAGAAAUAAUUUUAUUUUUAGUCACCAAUCUCUAGUUUGCGCGGUGGCAGUCAUCUUGAUGGUAUCAAGCUCUUUGUGAACCUCGUGAAAGCACUCCGCAUCUUUCUCAAUCAUCGCGUGAAGGUUAUCAAGAGCUAUCUCUUGCUGCUGAUUACACAAGGUCAAAGACUUAACCUCAGCAGAGAGGUCUUUAUUGUUCGCUUCCAUUUGAGCAAUUUGAUCCUUUAGCUUCUGCACCUCGGCAGUGAGAUCUGUUUUCUCAAUGCGCAGGUCUUCCAUCUUGUUCAAAACUUUUUCACAACCAAGUUUUCCAGCGAUCACUUCUUUCAUUGCGAACGUGGUCAUCAAUGAGCAAAGCUCAAGUCCGCUGAGACCCUUGAUUCUUGACUCAAAAGCUGUCAAAAGGAAAUCGAUAGAAUUUUCUUUAUAAGCAAAACAAAAAACAAAUAAUAAAAAUGUCAUUAGCUAAGGUGUUAACCUUUCGAAUAAAAAAAUUGAUAUUGUGGAAUUUUAGCGUUAGCCUCACCAGAGUCAACAGCUCGAAUGACUUUGAAGGAAUCCCCUUUUUCAACACUUGUUUCAAAUGAGCUCACGUCUUUAACCAAUCUCAGUUCAUCUGAGUCAAGUUGACUCAAGGAAAGCAAAGCGCGAGCAACAGUUCACCAUCUGCGCAAGCAAGACAAUUUAAUAGCAUGUCAAAUUGAAUACACAACAAAAACACAAGGUAACACCGGGUACAAGUCUAAGGUAAUCAUCUUUAGGGGGAGAGAAAAUCCCUUUACCAUUGGCAGGGAAUCUCAUGAACCUUAGGAAAGGUAAAAUCUUCGUCAGUCUUGGAUGUAAGAGGAUUCCCUUCGGCAUCAAUCUUGGGGGUAAGGUCUCAUUGCCUUCACUCUCUUGAGCAUUUAGCACAGGAGACAAAUUAAGAGGUAGUUUAUUGGACGAACAAACAACAUGCUUAGCCUCGCAUGACUUGGGCAUCAAGGCUUGGCUAGAAACAACCGCAUCUUUAUCACAGUCAAUUGGAUCCUCAUCUAAAUAAAUCAUGCUUUCGUCUUGAUCCAAGAUGUCAGCCAUCCUAGCAAAGGCAGAAGCGGAGGUACUAGGCAUUUUGGCCUCGAAAUUGAUAUUCGUGUCCUCCAGGUGCUGAUAGUAUUCAGCAACCAAGCCGUGAUGCUGACCAAUUUUGCUUUCAAGAGCAUCAGUUCCUACCAAACUAUCUUGAGGAGCAUCUGCAGGCUCGGGCGAGGGUGUUACCUUAACGCCCGGUGAAAAUCCAUGUUUAGUCCCGUGCUGCUCGGCAACAACACUAUGGUUUCAAGUACCUGGAGCGAGGGUGAACUCUCAACACUUGGUCGUGCGUUGGGAAUUAUCUUACGUUGCUUGGCAGCACCGGCUGUUUCCAGUUCUCUUUUCCGUUUCUACAUUGCUGUCACAACCUUUGUUGAUUUGGAAACAGCUGAUGACCCCGCAACGUCUACCUUUUUCUUCUUAGAAAAGCUUUUUUCUUAACCUUAGGAAUUUGAGAGCCAACGUUCCCCCGACAAAACCAUUUUCUUCGCAGACCCACCAGGAUGCGGACGCGGCUUGUAAGAAAGUUUCAUCUCAUCAAAUACCCGAUUAAUUCGUGCACCGUGUUUCAAAGCCAACAUCGCAGCCUCAUGUUCCUUCAGUGAAUAGUUGCUAAUCAGGAGAACAACUUGCCUCUCAAUUUCAGCUACGAACUCUGCAUCUGACACACCAUCUGGUUUCUUAACACCAAAUUUCAGAAAUUUAACUUCAAGGUCUGUAUAGGGGAUCUUUUUCUUAACAAAGGUAGUCGGUUUCCAACCAUGGUGCGAGGGCCAGAUGCCAGCAGCCAAAAACUCCUCGAUGGCAUCUCGACUAGAAACAACUUGACUGGCUUGGAAAUAAGCAAAUCUCGCAGGUGAAGAGCAGCCUCGACGUCUAAAAGUGGGCGCAAAUUCCAAUUCCAUGUCUUUGAUCUUGCAAGCCAAAGGAUGCUCCAAAAUUUCUUUGCCCUUAGAAUAUUUUCCAACAACAACAGGAAUGGUUGCAUAGAACCAAUAAGAAUCCCAUUUGUUUGACCACUUAUUUUUUUGGCUCGGAGCGAGGGCAACUGGCACUAUGUUUUGACCUAACCGUCAUGUCCAGAAGGUUCAGCAUCGAUACUGCGCCUCAAAUUCUUCCUCGCCAACCAUGAGGUGUUUCUUUUGGAGAUGCAAUUCAAAAUGGCGAGCGAAAGAUUCAGCAUCUAUUUUACCUCCAAAAGAAUGACUCCACCAAAAAUACUUCAGGAUCUGUGGGAUAGACUUGGGAGUCAACUGACAAAUGCGAAUCUUCGUCAGCCUGGCAAAAGAUUUUUCUAGCAGAAACCUCAGCCCGGCAACAAAGAAGUCCCAAAAGACCACAGAUUCGUUAGGCUCAGGAGCUAGGACAUCUUCGUCUCCUGGUGGUCGGCAAUCUCCAACAUUGAAAUAACCUUUCUCAACAUAAAAAUCGAUAUCAUUUUGGCUAACCAAAGAAUGACCAAAAAAGCAGCUGGUGGGAACCUCCGCAACCAGAUCAUUCACAUCAACCUCCACGUUAUCGAGAUCCUCGCCUUCCUCUUCCUCUGCACCCUCAGCAGUGUCACCCUCACCAUCAGAAUCACUAUUUUUCCCAAUGGACGAUUCCCCAUCAAAUGAGCUGUUACCUUCGCGGUUGUGCUGAGAGCCGCCCAAGUCAUCGUCUCCACUUGGAGGCAGUUCGAUCUCCGGGUUCAUCGGAUUUGCCGCGACAUUUUCUUCAGCUUCUGGAAUAACCAGAUUGGCAGCAGCUAGUUCUUCUUCAGACAUUAGUCUAGCAUUAAUCUUAACACGAGCCACUAUAUUCAAGGAAAGGUAGAACAUAUAAGAGAACAUUAAAUUUAAAUCAGAUGUUACAGUAGCAUAGGUAAAGAAAAUCACCUUCGCAGAGUCAAGAAGGGAGGAAUCGAAAGGGACACACGAAUCUCAAAGCACAAAGAAAGAAAUCAGCAAGGGUCGUUGUCGAAACAAGGGUGCAGAAAAGUUACCGCACCCCCAUCUAUUUAUAAGCAUAGGAAGGCACUGUUUCGGUAAUCGUGCUCAACAGUAAAAAAGCAAGGGCAAAAUAGUCAUUUAACUACCUUCAUAGAGAGAUCCAAUCCAACGAGCAGGGGAGAUGUUUUCAAUCCUUGAUCGAGAUCAAAUGAUAUUUUGAGGGUUUGGCCCACUGGAGUUGGACCUCACCCCCGAGGGGCUACUGUUGGGGAUCUAGAUUUGGAUUGUCAACGUCACCCUUGCACGCCGCUUUAGAGAAUUGGAUCGUCACAAUGAUAAUCAAAAUGAUCUUCACCAUCGCUCAAAGCUAACAACCUCGUUUCCUUUCUUACCUUCGUCACCUCGCCUGCGAGGGUGCAGGCAAAUUGUUUUGAUCGUGUUUGCAGGUUCUCGUGCUGGAGGGCGCGGAGCGAAGUUAUUCGGCAAAUCGGGCGAAGGGAGGUGGAGGUCAUGAGCACAUUCGCUGUCCAAAGUUCAAGGUCCAUUCAAGAUCACUUUCGCGGAGGUGUGGAGGAUUAGGGUCACGCUGCGAACGUGACCCGGGUGGCAUGAAUAGCAUGACCUGGUUAGGGUGUACAAAUUGGAUUAGGACUCUUUGUUUAUCAAAAUGUACAACAUAUUCUUGGAAUGUAGUGGUUGAAUGAGGGUAAAUUCGUUAUGUAAAAGUUGGUUGGCCUCCCUAUAAAAGGGGAGGCACCCCUACUGUACAAGGGUUCACAUUUCUGGAGAAAUACAAACCUUAGAGAGUUUUGUUUACCAUUUGUGUGUUGUUUCUUUAAGUGUUUGAUGAAUAGCUUGCUCUGAACCAACACGGGUAAAGUGUACACCUCUGCGCAGAGUUAUAAAACUAUUCAAAUAGCCGAGGCUCUCGUCAAGAGCUCACAUAGCUAAAGCUUCCAUUGAUUAGUCAUGACCAAUUUCAUAAAGGAAAGAGAGAUUCAGGCUUGUCCUGGGAUGUGUCUAGAAAUAAGGCAAAGGCCAGCUCAGGUAAUCCUUGACGGAUCCUGAUGCUCUUAAAACUUGGGGACAUGUAGGGAGGUAGAUUCCCCUCCAGGACCAACAACUUAUAAAUACUUGCAUUACAUCCUUUUCAAAUGUUGCAACCUUAUACACUGUGCAUAAAAUUAGCUCUUAGGUAAAACUAGCAGCUAUUCCUUGAAACCCUGCAUGAAAUAGUACAACAACUAUAGGAUUUGCUGGGUACCUAUUGUUUGGUACUCACUCUUACUUGCUAUUCCUUUCUUACUCCAGAGGAAGAAGAAGUUGCCGCUGAAGAGGACGAGGAUCCUGAGGAUCUCCCAUAGGAGCCAAACCGCCUGUUGGCUUGGGAUUGCUACGUAGGACUCCACUGUAUAAUUAAGGUUGAUGCUACAACCCCUCUUAUAUCAUUAGUAGUGUGUUUUCUAUUUUUCAACCUUAUGUAAAUUAUCAAUAAAAGUUGUACGAAGUAUGGAUGUGAUACUUUUUGUGAGAAAUGCUCGUAUCAUCUACAGAUCCAGAGAAUGAUACAAAUGACAUUCGGGGUCCCUUUUUAGGGGCAACCCCCACAACUUCUGAUUGCUUCCUUCCAAUAGUCAGCAUCAGGAGAUCCAUAAGCCUCAGCAAUGGUUUUUGGAGUGUCAUCUAGUGUCAUCUACAAGGUACCUAAUGAAGUCAUCACUAAAAGACUUUUCAGUCCUUCAUCUCUUACUCUUUCAAGUCCCUUCAUUGUCAACCUUCUCAUGUUUUUUCUCAUGUAGUUUUUCAAAUUGUAGUACUAUAUCAUUAUUUUCAGGGGAAUUAACAAAUUCAUGACUAAAACUACUAGAUGUUUCUUUCAUAGGAAAAAUGCUCUCAAAGAAUAUGACAUCUCUGGACUCCAUGAUUGUACCAACAUGCAUGUCCGGUACUCCAGAUUUUAUUAUCAAGAAUCUAUAUCCGAAACUAUGAAAAACAUAGCCUAGAAAGACACAAUCAACUGUUUUCGGUCUGAGCUUGCGUUUCUUAGCAAUUGGUACAUUAACCUUUGCCAAGCAUCCCCAAGUACACAAGUAUGAGAGUGUUAAUCUUUUAUUUUCCCAUUCCUCGAAUGGUGUAUUCUCUUUAUUUUUCAUAGGAACUCUGUUAAGAGUAUGACAAGAAUCAACAUGGCUUCACCCCACCAUUCAUUAAUCUUUUAUUUUCCCAUUCCUCGAAUGGUGUAUUCUCUUUAUUUUUCAUAGGAACUCUAUUAAGAGUAUGACAAGAGUCAACAUGGCUUCACCCCACCAUUCCCAAGAAUGUCCGGCUGUUUCUAACAUGGCGUUAGCCAUCUCAGUUAGAGUGCAUUUAUUUCUUUCAACCACUCCAUUUGACUCAGGGGAAUAAGGUGGUGUUUUCUCAUGAAUGUUGCCAUGUUCCCCACAAAACAAAUUGAACUCAUUAGAGAAAUACUCUCCACCUCGAUCCGAUCGAACAUGUUUUUAUCUUCCUCUCAAGUUGAUUUUCAACUUUGGCCUUAUAGAUCUUGAAAAACUUAAAUGCCUCAUGUUUCAUUUUAAGCAAGUACACAUAGCAGUAUCUAGUAGAAUCAUCUAUCAAAGUUAUGAAUUAUCUCUUUCCACCUUUAGUUAACACACCAUUCAUUUCACAUAAGUCUGAAUAAACUAAUUCUAAAUGUGCCAAGAUCCUCACCUCGGCAGCCUUGUGAGGGUUGCGGGGUUGCUUAGAUUGCAUACACACCUGACACUUAGAAUUUUUGACCAAAGUGAAUUUCGAAAUUAAACUCAAAUUAGCUAGCCGCAACAUACAAUCAAAAUUAACAUGACAAAAUUGUGAAUGCCAAAUAUUUGAUUCAUCAUCAUCAUUACACACAUGAUUCACAACUUUAUUACAAGAGUCCGACAUGGACAAGCGAAACAAACCAUCACAUAUCCUUUACCAACAAAGGAACCAAACUUAGGCACAACACACUUGUUCGACUCAAAUACCAACUUAAAACCAUCCUUACACAGAAGGGAUCUGCUAACAAGAUUUUUAUUUAUUGAGGGGACAUGCUGCAUGUUCUUCAGUAGCACGGUCUUUUUGAAAUAAACUUUAGAUCGACCGUGCCAACACCAUGAACAACAACACCUGAGCCGUUCCCCAUCAACACAGAUCCAGUCCCUGUGACCUGUAAGAGGAAAAUAAAGAAAUAUCAGCACACACAUGUAUAUUAGCUCUGGUGUCAAUCCACCAAUUUGGUAAAUGAUAAACUGAAAGAACAAUAGCAUGAUUACCAUACCCUGAUGUCCCCUUCUCAGCAUUGCUUAUAACAACAUUAGCAGACUUUUUCUCCCCGUGCUGCUGCUUGUCCUUGCGGUCCUUGGCCCAAUGGUCAGAACCACCGUACACAAAGCACUUUCCAUUGUUCUUCUUCUUCUUAAAGUUGAUAGUCUGAGUAGUCUUGUGUUGAAACUUAACCUUCCCUUUGCCCUUAUUCUUGUGAGAUUGGAAGUUCCUUUUAUGCACCACAUGGGCGCUAGAACCUCCCUCAUUACCACGUGCACGUGAAUCCUUUGCUCUCGUCUUUUCCUCAACAUCAAGAGCGACGAUCAGACCGGCUACAGUGAAUUUCUAUCUCUUGUGUUUCAGAGUAGUAGCAAAGUUCCUCCACGAAGGAGGCAAUUUGGCAAUGAUGCCACUGGCCACAAAUUUAUCCAGCAGCUCACACCUGACAUUCACAAGGUCCUUUGCAAGAGUCUAUAACUCAUGAGCCUGUUCAACUACAGAACAGUCAUCAACCAUCUUGUAGUCAUAGAACUGUUCCCUGAUGUACAGCUCGCUCCCUGCAUCAGAUGCCCCGAAAUUUGCCUGGAGUGCAUCCCACAAUGCUUUGCCAGAGGAAAGAUGCAUGUACGAAUCGAUAAAAUUCUCUCCGAGAACAUUGAUCCUAGCCCCAAUGAACAAUGUGUUAGCAGACAUGUACACACUAUCCUCUGCGGAUGUGUGCGGUCCCAUAGGACGCUCCUUGGUAAUGAACCACACAUUCAUAGCCGUGAGCCACAACUCAAGUUUGCCAACCCAUCUCUUGUAAUUCGUUCCAUAAAAAACAUUCGGUUUCAAUUGCGCAACAAAGCCAACAACCGAAAAAACCCUAUAAUAAAGUUUUUGGAUUGUUCGAAUAAGAGGCAUUUUAUGGUCCAUUUUAAUUACAAAUAUUAAAUAAAACAUGACAUAAACUAUAGCAUAAAUAGGACCAUAAACAUUUGUGUCUAUAGCAAUAAACAUAAAGCAUGCGAUGGAAAUAACGAAAAACAAACAAUGAAGCAAAAAGUUCAUGAGAGAGUACCCUGCAGUAGGACCAGUGUCGGGAGCACCAGGUGCGCUGUUACUCGAUAUUUCAAGCCUAUUCAAUGUAGUCGAUUAAAGUCGAUACCACGCAGAUGUUUACCGUGUAGUUGCGCCUCUAAGAAGAAGAGGUGGGCAGCGAGUAGUCACGCAGAUGCGCUCCCCAAAAACUUUAUUCGCCUUCACUUCCAAUGCAGAAGCCGCGGAAGAUGGAGGUUCUGGAGACCUACCUCCCAACACUAGUGCACGCGAGCACCGGGAUGAGGAUGCAGAUUCCAUGUAGCAACUAAAAAAAAGUGGAAGUGUAUUUCAUCUCAUUUGUGAGGUCAAGCACCUUUCUUUUUAAGCAACGCAUGGAGACACAAAGUCACCAGGGACCGCAUGGGUUUUCACUUAUGCAACGGAAGCAAUUAGCACUUAGUGUAUUAACCUUGCAUGCACCUCAUGGCUUGCAACGCAUGCACCGAAUAACUCCAAGGCUGCCAACGUUAACCGCAUUUGCAUGCACCUUAUGGCUUCCGUUACAUGCACACUAUUCACACCAGUAAUUGCAUGAUUUUAUAUUCUGCAUGCUACCGCAUAUACACUUCACUCUUAGCAUUGAAAUGACCUUUGGAAUUUAUUGAUUAAUUGUAUUUUAUCAAAGAAUAAACCCUGAAUAAAUCCAACACUCUCAUUUUGCCGAUGAAGAUUGUAAUAAAGGGGCUGUUUGGUUUCGUUUGCUUAUUUUAGCACGUGUCACAUCGAAUGUUUAGAUACUAAUUAGGAGUAUUGAACGUAGACUAUUUACAAAACCCAUUACAUAAGUGGAGGCUAAACGGCGAGACGAAUCUAUUAAGCCUAAUUAAUCCAUCAUUAGCAAAUAUUUACUGUAGCAACACAUUAUCAAAUUAUGGACUAAUUAGGCUUAAUAGAUUCGUCUCGCCGUUUAGCCUCCGCUUAUGUAGUGGGUUUUGUAAAUAGUCUACAUUUAAUACUUCUAAUUAGUAUCUAAACAUCGAUGUGACGGGUGCUUAAAAAUAAGCAGCGUAAACCAAACCAGGCCAAAAUCAGUAUGAAAUGCAAAGAUCAGUCUAGCAUUACUAAAGGUCAUGAUAUACACGUACUAGGAUCCCUUGUGUUUAUUAUUGGUUAAGGGUAUGUUCUGUUCACAUUCUUUUAUUGAGAAAGUGGUGCUAAUUUAGAAAAAAGAUCGCAAUGUCUGACAUCAAUAUGUAUCGCACACAGAAAUGAGGGCGUCAUAAAUUUAUGAAAUAUAAGUUUUUAUGGAAUUUAAAUAUAUAUAUAAUUUAACAGAAUCCUAAAAAUCAUUUUAAAAAUAUUUGAGUAUUCAAACAAUUUUCGAGAUUAAUCCUCGGUUCGACGGUUCCUCACUUCACCAGUUGAUCGUCUCAAGCACAAAACCGAAGCAACGACCACGAAGCCAACUGACUUCCCCACCCCCCACUCCCCUCUAGAUCUCCCUUCCCUCCACUUCCCAGAUCCACCCCCACCUCGUCGCCGGCCGCCGGCGCAAUGGCCGCGCCACCCCCCACCACUCCGCGUCUCCUCCUCUCGCCGACCUCCAAGGACCUACUCACCGCCGCCGCCUUCCCCUCGCCACCCUCCCAAACCUCCGACGACCCCGCCUCCCCGCUCGACGCCUUCGCCUCCGACCCCGUCCUCUCGGCCUUCCUCUCCCCGUCAUUCUCCCCCUCCGAUUUCUCCUCCGCCGCGCUCUCGUCCGGCCUCGCCGCCUCCCGCGCCGAGCAGCUGCAGGACGCCAUCCGCCUCCUCCGCCGCCAUCUCCGCGCCGAGGUGCUCCGCCGGCACCCGCUCCUCCUCUCCCACCUCCUCUCUCUCCGCUCCGCCUCCGCGUCGCUCUCCACCCUCCCAUCCCACCUCCACCUCCUCUCCUCCCACCUCUCCCUCCUCUCCUCCCACCUCUCGGCCCCGCGCUCCCAUCUUGCGCUCUCCUCGGCCUCCCUCUCCAGCCUCCUCGCCACCGCCGACCUCCUCCUUCACUCCCACCGCCUUGUACGCCUCUCCUCCCGACUCCUUGCCUCCUCCCCUGCGCCUGACCUCGCCCGUCAGGCCGAGCUCCACCGCGAGAUCCGCCUUCUCUACGAGGAGAAGAACCUCUCCGGGAUCAAUGCCGUUGAUGAGGAGAUGCGCAAGGUCGAUGCUGCCGCAUCCAAGCUACGCUCGGAAGCCAGCGCUGUGAUCGACCGCGGUGUUGCUGAGUCCAAUCAGAACGAUGUGUGGUGCGGGCUUCAGGUGUACUACAAUCUUGGGGAGUUGAAGCCGGCAGUGGAAGGACUUGUUGGGAAGUACAAGGCAGCAGGCGCAAAGAGUGUGGCUGUGGCUCUGGACAUGAAGGCGAUUUCAAUGGCUGCUGCCAGUGGAGGUGGCCCUGGAGGAGUGCAGAGGAGUGGUACACCACAGAUUGGUGGUAGUAAGAAGGCAGCAGAGGCACUUUGGGAUAGGAUGAGGCAGUGCAUGGAGGAGCUGCAUCGGGCUGUCAGCGCUGCUUGGCAGCUGCAAACUGUACUCACCAAGAAGCGUGUGCCAUUCACACAAAUGCUGUUCCUUGAGGAGGUUUGGCAGGUGAGUUGAGAUGCAUGAAAUUAUUAGGCUGGGUAAAAAUGAUAUUGGAAUGAAAAACUAGAACUUAAGCUCUAUUAUGGCCACUGCAUAUGUGGGACAUAUCAUGAAAAUAUGAAACUAUCUGUCGUGUGGCAUUCAUUUGUGAAUUCACUGUUAAGACAGUAUCUGUUGAAGAGAUCUAAAAUGGUAGUAAAGGCAGAACAAAGCGAGCAUAUCUAUCUACCAGUGGACCUUAUCUAAUGAACGCAUUAAAAUUUAGGCUAUAUGUUUUGUUAUACUUGGAACUUUGAAUUUUUUAUUAACCUUUGGUAGUGUGGUGGGAAUUUCAUGGCGUAGCUAAAUUGUUUAUGGUUUUAAUCUCUUUCAUAAUGACGUGUUCAGUACUUGAUGCCAAGCUAAAGCAUAUUUUGGAUCAUGGUGGGUGGUGUUGAAUGAAAUGCGGAAUUGAUUGCUAAAUACCUGUGAUCUUUUGACUCUUCCAUAAUUUUAGCCUUCUUCUGGUAUUGGCAUGCAGAAUUGUGCAUCUUAAGACCCUUGUGAUACUGUUCUUACUCCUAUGUGAAUAAUUCUGAUGUACUAUUUUCUUCAGUUGUUUUAAUAACAAUAUAAAAUAAAAUCUUUUGUAGGAGGGUGAGCCUCUGUUAACAGAGAGAGUUUGGGAUGCAAUUGUGAAGGCCUUUGCAAGUCAAAUGAAGUCUACCUUUACGGCUUCAAGUUUUGUGAAGGAAAUAUUUACUCUUGGGUAUCCAAGACUGUUUUCAAUGGUUGAAAACCUUCUUGAGAGGAUUUCAAGAGAUACUGAUGUAAAGGGUACCCUUCCAGCUCUUACUCCUGAAGGAAAAGAUCAUAUGAUUUCAGCCAUUGAGAUAUUCCAGACAGCCUUUUUGGCUCUUUGUCAUAGUCGUUUAUCUGAUUAUAUCAAUAGUAUAUUUCCAAUGUCAAGUCGUGGAACUAUACCUUCAAAGGACCAGAUAUCAAGAUUAGUUUCUCGCAUACAGGAGGAAAUCGAAGUAGUGAGAACUCACGGGCAUUUGCUUGUUCUUGUUCUACGGGAAAUUGGAAAGAUCUUACUUCUUUUAGCACAGAGAGCUGAAUAUCAGGUAUUCACUUGCUACCUUCUAAUGAUCUAGUCAAGUUAUUUAUGUAUGUUUUUUCACCUGUGGAUUUCAUAUGCUUUCUACAUUAGCUAUGAGUAAAUGUAGUCCUUGUGGCAGGUUACACUAGUAAGUUCUGAAUUCUGAUAGUAAUGGUAUACUUGAAACUGUGUAUACAUAUUCCACUACCCUUUUUUGUCCUUGUAUUGGGGUCUGUUUUACUGAUUGUAACGCAACAUUACUUGGAGCUUGACAAAUCUCCUUUUGGUGAUUCUAGUUGUUAGCUCCAUAUCUUCAGUAGGAUAAUUCUUUAUAAGUCUUUGAGUAAUUGAGUUGAAACCAAAUCUGUUACAUUAAAAUCCAUAUAAUUAUAUGCUUUUCAUUAUGUUGAGUCACUUCUUGUUCUUUAUUUUUGUUCUUCUGAAAACCUUUGCCAAGCACAAUAGCACUAAUCUCAUGAAUCAAGUGUACUCACUAAGUACACAAAUAGCUAUGCAAGUUUUGGGUCAGUUGAGUGAUUAUUGUGGUCUUGGCUGAGUGAAAGUUGUAGUCAUCUUGUAUAAUCAAACUUGUGCAACAGUUGGUUUUUAAUGUGCUCUUGUUUGUUUGAUAUUUUUAUUCUGAUUAGUUACCUAUUGAUUAUAGAAGUAAAGAGAACUUGGUACUCUGACGUGUACAAGUCAUGACAAAAUACUGUUCUAUUGUUAUGGCACUCCUCUGGAUUCAUCUCUGCUGUCCUGUAUACUAGUAGGUUUCACUUGCGACUCAACAAUAUGAACAGUGUAGAGUGAUUUUGGCUGUCCUAAAACCUUCACCCAAGGAAAGGCUGGUGGAUCAUAUGCCGACCCUCUAUGAAAGUAAAAGACCUGUAUUAUUGUAGCAUAUUGUUAAAGAGGAUCGUAUCCAUCUUUUUCCUUCCUAACUUGUCUUAUUAACUGUUUAUUGUCUAGCCACUUUGCACGCAUAGAUAAUAACUCCUAACUUCCUCUGUUAUUUCUUGCGUGCUUAUACAAUGUCUCAAAUGUCCAUCUAACUUAUGUUGGUUGCUGGGUACUCCCUCCAUCCCAAAUUGUAAGUUGUUUUGGUUUUUCUAGGUGCAUAAUUUUUGCUAUGCACUUAGAUAUAGUAUAUGUCUAGAUGCAUAAUAAUAUCUAUGAACCUAGAAAAGCUAAAACGAUCUACAAUUUGAAACGGAGGGAGUAUUGCUUUAGUUUCUGUGUGCAGUUGCUAACACAUAUUUUGCUUUAAAUGUAGAUCUCUACUGGGCCUGAAGCCCGACAAGUUACCGGCUCAGCGACUCCAGCCCAACUCAAAAACUUUGCUUUGUGCCUCCACCUUCAGGAGGUUCACACACGCAUUUCGAGCAUCUUGUCAACACUCCCUAAUGUUGCUUCUGAAGUGCUUUCACCAUCCCUUGGUGUCAUCUACGGUGUUGCUUGUGAUUCAGUGACCUCCCUGUUCCAAGCGAUGCUUGAUCGACUCGAGUCAUGCAUCCUGAAAAUGCAUGAGCAGGACUUUGCAGGUCAUGGAAUGGAUGCAGCAAUGGACAACAAUGCAUCAGCUUACAUGGAGGAGCUUCAGAAGUGUGCCAUCCACUUCCGCAGUGAAUUCUUAUCGAAGCUUUUGCCAUCAUCAUCCUCUCGUUCCGAAACCAUAUGCACCAUCAUGGUUAGAAGGAUGGCCUCAAGAGUCCUCAUAUUUUUCAUAAGGCAUGCUUCUCUUGUCAGGCCACUUUCAGAAGCGGGGAAGUUGAGAAUGGCGCGGGACAUGGCUGAGCUGGAGCUUGCUGUUGGUCAGAACCUGUUUCCAGUGGAGCAGCUGGGAGCACCAUACCGGGCAUUACGAGCAUUCCGGCCUGUCCUUUUCCUGGAAACAUCUCAGCUUGAGAAAUCUCCACUCCUUCAAGACUUGCCGGCUAGCGUUAUCCUCCACCAUCUCUAUUCUCGAGGACCUGAUGAAUUGCAGUCACCUUUACAGCGCAACAAGCUCACGCCACUGCAGUACUCUCUGUGGCUUGAUUCGCAAGGUGAGGACCAGAUUUGGAAAGGGGUGAAGGCGACCCUGGACGACCACGAGAUGAGGGUCAGGUCUAGAGGUGACAAGGAGUUCAGUCCGGUGUAUUCUCUCAUGCUUCAGAUUGGAUCUGCAUUGUCUCAGGCCACGAUCUAACAUGUAUUCGGUUCACUCAUGCAUUUGUACCAUCUUGUAGCAUUGAUUCCUGGAGGGAUCGGGGGUGAGAUUUUGCAUAGUUUAUACACAUGAAUGAAAUAGCAAUUGUAUUUGUUUCCGGAAAUAAUUCUUAGAGUACAGAGUGUCUUGUAGUUCUGGUAGUUUCUGUAUCUUGCUAUCUUUGGAACUCUGAUUCAUAUGAAAUAUCUUGAAGGGUGCCAAUUUUUUAAAAUCAAUCUGAGUCCUGGAAAAUAGGAACAGGAAAAAAAGAAUCAUAAGCUACCAUCGGGUGUUUCUCCUUCCCCUUACACUCCAUUUUAGCUUCUCUCCCUCGGUCCCUUCAUCCUUUUCGCAUCACUGUCCACCAUCUCGGCAUUUCCGGCGAGGUUAGGGGAGAACUGGUUCUCCGACAAGCUUCGGCACUGCGGUCCUCUGGCAAGGUAACUGGGGUGCUCCCUGGACUUAGACCGACAGUUAACCUGCCGGCUUCUGUUCAAAAAGAUGUUGGGAGCAGCAGUGCGGCUAGACAGGCGUUGAGCGUAGUAGGUACGGAGCAGCGAGAGGGGUUUAGCCGCUGGGGACGGGGAGCGGAGAUCGUGCACACCGGCGGCGAGCAAGAAGAAAUCUAUGUGAAGGAGGCAAGCAGUAAGGAAGAACGAUUGAACGAAAAAGAAACGUUCCGACCGUUAGAUAAAAAAAUUAUUAAGGGUCAGAAAAAUCGAGUGUUUUGUUGAGUGUCAUCUUAGAUGCUAAACAAAGUUGGGAAUAUGAAAUAAUGCAAUUGCAAUCUUAUAGGGAGGCUCCCUGUGAAUUAUUUUAGUCAAAAGGAAUUUCUCUGAUAAAAUUUAUGCAAAGUUCUAUGGAUUGAACAAAAAUAAAAUCAUAGUAAUUUACUCUUACAAUAUAUAAUACUAUUACUAUAUACACGCUACACACAUCCCAGAUAUGGAACUCCUCAAUUAUCUAGCCAAAAGAACAUGAUUAUAAGAGUGCUAAAGAAGUAAAUCGAAAUCAAUUUAAAUACUAUGGAUGAAAGUUCAUUAGUUCACUAACCCUAGAAUAAUUACUCCUCCGUUUCAAAUUAGAGAUCGUUUUGACUUUUUAGAUUCAUUAAUUUUAUCAUGCACUUAGAUAUACCUAUAUCUAGAUCCAUAAUAAUAUCUAUGAACCUAGAAAAUCCAAAAUAACCUAUAAUUUGAAACGGAGGUAGUACUACUUGUCGUCGUGUUGAAGUUGUAAUUUGCAGGCAAAAAGAAUUCGGAGUUGCUGAGUCAAAGUUUGAGUUUUUGAGUUCAAGGUUUUAAAGUUGCAAGUUCACGAUUUUUGUCUUGGAUAAACUUAAAUUUCGAGUUAGAAUUUCUCUAGGUAUUAAGUGUUGCAAAGUUUACACCCAGUUGUGAACGUUUGAAAUUCCAAUAUAGAUUUGACUUUUUAAAGUUAAAUUCAUUAGAUAGAAAGGCAUUAUAUAUAUUAAUAAAAAAUAAAAGCCAAAGACAUGCCGUCAGCAGUAGCAGCAGACCCAAUCUGAAGAAAGGGAUCGCCUGAACAAAACAGCAGUGUCAGAGUGAAGAGUCUUGACACAGAAGCAGCAGCGAGAUGGGGCGGUGGUGGUCGCCGGCGUCGGCGGCGGUGGAGCCGCGGUCGGUGCAGCUCCUGCUCCUGGGCGUCGCCCUCGUCGCCGCUUCCUUCUACGCCGGCACCCUCUUCGGCUCCUCCGCCUCCCCCGCGCUCAUACUGCCCCCUUCGCGCCCCCGAUCGCCCGAUUCCUCCAGGUCCAAAGGUGCCUACCUUCAUCUCCCUUCGGGCGUUUGCCCCGUUCCGAUCCGCUGGUGGAUCGCAUUUCCAGUCCAUUUCUGGGCGUCAUAGAAAAAAUAGCGGCUCAUGGCCACUGUUGUUCGAGGUUCCUUGCUAAUUGUUGUAAUUUGUGCAGCGGAUUUAGGUUUAUUGUUGCAGGUUUCGUGUUAUAUGCUCCUGCAUUGUUUGAUUGAGAUUUAGGAAUUGCUUUGUGCCAGCAACAGAGAUUAGGUCGAAGUGAGGGCCAGUAUGUUGAAGUAAUUUAUAUUGCCAAUUUUUUCAGUAGGUCAUGAUGCUUUUAAGCAGAUGCUAUUUCUGAAACUUGUGUCCUGCUUCUCGUUGCAGCAAUGUAUGUGAUACUAGAAUGUUCAUUUAUCAUCCCAUCCUCCUAGCUUGUCAUAUCCCUAUGAAUGGCAUUUUUCAUUAUAUAUCCAUGCCAAUGUGGUUAAAUCAGUUUGCUUUUCAGUUGCAGAUGCUCGAAUGUUUACAAACAGAGUUUCUCUUACAUACCGGACGAAACCAGUCAGAGUUCCAGAUCAUGGAGUUGAUGUGUGCCCUUUGGAAUACAAUGAGUAUGUUCCCUGUCAUGAUGUGGCCUAUAUAAGCAGCUUAAAGAACCUGGAUAGAUCUAGGCAUGAGGAUCUUGAAAGUAUUUGCCCUCCACAAGAGAAACGAUUGUUCUGUUUGGUGCCCCCACCAAAUGACUACAAGAUACCAAUAAGAUGGCCAACAAGCCGAGACUAUGUAUGGCGUAGUAAUGUUAACCAUUCACAUCUUGCUGAGGUCAAAGGAGGACAGAAUUGGGUGCACGAGAAGGGCAAGCUUUGGUGGUUUCCUGGAGGAGGCACUCACUUCAAACAUGGUGCAUCAGAGUACAUAGAGAGGUAACCAUAACUCCAUAAGUGCUGCCUAACUCACAUUUCAAAUUUUGGCGUUUAAGCUUGAGAAUUGUUUUAUAAUUAGUAUUAGUUUGCAGUCCUGUGCCUGUAGCCUCAUCUAGAUGAUGUCAGAUGCGACGCCUAGCAGCAAAUGCUGUGGCCUAUUAAUUUCGAUCUAACAUUUUAUAUUCUUGAGGGAACAACCUAUUGAGUAUGUUAGAGGUGGAGUGUAUGUGCAGUGAAGGGACAGUAAUUUAGAGCACCAAUUAAUUGAACAUGGUCCAUGCUAGAGCUUUCUUUUUAUGUUGUGAAAAGGGUAUUCUAUUGAUUUAGUUUUUGUAAUUGGUCAAUGCAGGCUAGGAAAUAUGACAACAAACAGUACUGGCGAUCUCCGUUCGGCAGGAGUAGUUCAAGUUUUGGAUGUUGGAUGUGGUGUUGCCAGCUUUUCUGCUUAUCUUCUACCCCUAGAUAUUCAGACCAUGUCAUUUGCCCCAAAAGAUGGCCAUGAGAAUCAAAUUCAGUUUGCUGUAGAACGUGGGAUUGGUGCAAUGAUCUCUGUGUUGGCCACAAAGCAGUUACCUUAUCCUGGAAACUCAUUUGAAAUGGUUCACUGCUCCCGAUGUCGUGUUGAUUGGCACGAAAAUGGUAAGAUUUACAUUGCAGUUUGUCCUAAGCUACUGGCUUGAUUUUACUUUCUAUGAGACCUUUUUUUGUUAACAGCAUUGUAUGUGAGAAAAGUUAUAUUGUGUUGUACCAUGCACAUGAUUGAAUAUAGCAAUCUUGAUUAAAAAUCAGUUGAUUCUCAGCUUAUGUAUCUAUACUCUUGGACCAUUAGUAGUUUUCUUACAAAAUUACUUCUGAUGGUCUUUUCUUUAUUAGUUCUGCCUUCUGGAUACAACAUCCAAAACUUGACUCAUCACCCAUGGUUUUUUUCUUUUCAGAUGGAAUAUUGCUCAAAGAGGUAGAUCGUCUUUUGCGGCCUAAUGGAUAUUUUGUAUACUCUGCUCCACCAGCUUACAGAAAAGAUAAAGACUUUCCUGUUAUCUGGGAGAAGCUAGUUAAUAUUACAACUGCAAUGUGUUGGAAGCUUAUUGCUAAGCAUGUUCAGACAGCUAUUUGGGUCAAACCUGCAGAUGAAUCCUGCCGACAGAAAAAUGCUGAUAUGAAGCUACUGAAUAUUUGUGAAUCUAACGACAAUGUUUCACCAUCAUGGAAAAUCCCGUUAAUGAACUGUGUGAGGCUUAACAAGGACAAAUCAGAGAUUAAGAAAUUUCCCUCCAGACCUGAUCGCUUAUCAUUUUAUUUCAAGAGUUUGGAAAUGAUAGGUCAGCUCCAUUUUUCCAUUGCCUACAGAAAAAAAAAGAUGAGACCUGUUUUGAUGCUACAAAUUUGAGUUAACUUCCAUUCUGAAAACGAUGUCCUCUACAUUCAAUCAUAAUAAGGUCUUGGGUUGUGAGGAUCUAAAACUUGCUUAACCAAAGUGAUUCAAACCUCUGAUCUAAAUCUAGUUUGACUUGAAUUAUAUUGCUUAUUCUGUGAAUCAUAAUCAGUUUUCUGAACAUAUCUGUUAGGAGUUACACCAGCCAAGUUUGAGAAGAAUAAUGAGUUUUGGAAGAACCAGGUUCACAAGUAUUGGUCAUUUCUUGAUGUUGAAAAGACUAGUGUCCGAAAUGUCAUGGACAUGAAUGCUAAUUAUGGUGGAUUUGCUGCGGCACUAAGCAAUGACCCUGUCUGGAUUAUGAAUAUAGUACCUUAUACCAUGAGCAACACAUUGCCAAUUAUCUACGACCGUGGGUUACUCGGUUCUUACCAUGACUGGUUGGUAUUUCAUUCGAAGAGAAUAAACGUGUUCCUCUUAUUUAUGAUGAAAUUCAAGCCAUUCAAUACUCAUGCUGCAGGUGUGAGCCAUUCCCAUCAUAUCCUAGGUCCUACGACUUGCUGCAUGCUUUCCACCUCUUCUCUCAUUAUGAAGGUCGCAAUGAAGAUUGUUUGUUGGAAGAUAUCAUGUUAGAAAUGGACCGCAUCAUUCGGCCCCAGGUAACUACUGCCUUUUAGUUGAUUAGGGACACUUUUUUAGAUACUUCAGUGUAUACCUUAUUUAAAAAUGUCCAUGUUAUGUUUGCAAAAACAAAGGAUUCUUAAUUUUGCAAGAGAAAACUUUAUAUCAUGGAACAAGAGAUUCCUGAACUUGGUCAUUGGUCAUGUGUUUUGUUAUCAAAUACUUUUGUACAUGGCUCUUUUGUGUAUCCUCAGUAGAGUGUACAUGCCGUAUGGUGUUAAGUUGUAUCUAUAUCUUUGAAGAGCUGAAGCAGUACUUGCCUUUUCCAUUCCAAACUAGUUUCUAAAUGAUUGAGCAUGCCAGCCAUAAAACAAAUCACAAAUAGCUCAGGUAUUACCGGAUUCACAGUAAAAGAACAAUUUGUUCAGGGAAAUUUGAUAGAUCAAUCUUUCCCUCAACCAUUUUGCCUUUCUUAGACAAAUAUAUUAUAUAAAGCACAAACAAUCUGGUUCUUCAUUCAGAAAUUUUCUUGUGUAGCAUAAACUUCUAUGUUUUGCUUUUCAAAACCAAGCAAUCAAAUAUGCUUUUUUAUGAACAUGCAGGGUUCCAUCAUUAUUAGAGAUGAGAAGAACACUCUUUCAAGAAUCAUUGAUCUAGCACCGAAGUUCCUUUGGGAUGUUAGCACACAUAUGUUGGAAAAUGAGGAAAAUGGGACAGAGAAAGUUCUGAUUUGCAGGAAGAAAUUCUGGGCUAUUGUUUAAAAGUUACACUUGGGCCGGAAGCUGCCAGAUCCUACCUUGGGGUGUCCUACUGUCCUUUGUGUCAAUACAGAACAGAACGUUAGGAGAACUUUUCAGCAUGCUGUAGUUUGAGAUGUCGCUCCAGUGAAUGUAGUAUUUCGUCGACUUCUCUCUGCAGUUGAGAGUACUGAAUUGUUGAGAAAGCACAUGGUAUCAUCAGGAGGUUUCUUCAGAAACUAUCAUACUAACUUGGAUCCUUUUUUUUGCUUUUGAGCGGUACUGUUUGUAAAGGACAUGCGCAUGGUGUAAAGAGGUGAGAUUUUGAUUUGUGUAGUCUUACUAAUAGCUAACGUUUUGUAGUUUCUCUCAAAAGAAAUAGCAAUUUGUACCUUGCUACUCAAUUAGUAAGUUAGGGUUUUGACAAAUUUUUUUCCUCGUGUUGUUUCUGUUGUUCCAAUCUGGGAUCAUCUCUACUACCAUAAACCUUAUGAUGGAUUGGAAGGUAUUCUGCUCUGUAUCCUUGAAUUUAUCAGUCUCUUGGUUGCAAGAGCUGUGUCUGGACUAUCUGCAAGAACUUCUUAGGGUGCGUUUGGCAACUAAUGGGAAGGGGCAUGGGAAUUAGUGGUGGAAGUUGGAGGAGAGAAUUCACCUGGAAUAUGAUUUUUUAGUCCUAUUCUUUUGUUUGUCUUUUGGAGGGAAUUAAGAGUGGGAAUUUAAAUGAGACUUCAUAUCCUCCAUUUGGUAUAAAGGUUUAGAGGUGGGAAAUUAUAUAUUAAGUCAUGAUCAACGGUGUAGAUGCAUCCUUUUUCCACUUAAAGUAAAUUCCCAUCCAAUUCCCACCCCUCCCCUUGGGAAGUGAUUGGUGGGAGUUGCCCCUUUAAAUUAUUAUUCCUUAUCCCAUAUCUAAACUCCCAUGCCCAUCAAACAAACAAGAGAAUUUUAUCUCAUAUUUGAACUCCCCCUCUGACUAAUUACCUUCAACCAAACGGACCAUUAAAGUUUGUACUAGCUGGUUAUUGAUUCUUCACCUGAAACUAGAAUUUCAUAUUAGCAUGCUUGCUUGCUUUCUUAAACAUCAAAGGGCCUAGAGGUAGGCGUGAUCAACCAUCCACAAGUUGGGAUGAUGGGGUGAAACAGGCAUUCAUUGAUUUUUUUUCGUUGGGAAUUUGAUCUAGAUAAUUUACUGUUCUCCAUGAUCUAGGUCAAGAGGACAGAACGAUCCUUUUUGCUUCUUUAUUUCUUUUACUGGGAAAAAGGAGACAUAUAGCGGCCAGAUGGAUUUGAAAUUAACAGAUGGAUUACCCUGUACUUGAAGAUGUAUGAACUCGUGGUUGUAGCUCACAGUGUAUUCCCUCUAGUUACGAACACUUCAAGUACUCGCUCCGUUCCGUUACAUACUGAAUACACCCCGUUCUAAAUCACAAACUUCUAGCAUUUUAAUUACACCAACAGAAGUUGUACAGCUUGAGUUGGAGCGUAAAGCGCACCAUGCAUCCCAUCCCAAGAUGAGGAACGCAAGUAUACAUUCCUAGUAAUUUCUAGCAAAAAAGAUAUAUUCCUAGUUAUCGCAAACAGAUUGAAAAUGAACUCCGAGAAGCAUGAAAUGCAGCUAUUGAUGAUGUGCCAUGUUACUAAUAACUACUGUAAGUUGUGGGGGGCAGAACCUAAACCAUGUAUACGCUAAAUAAGUUACUACAAGUUUUGUUUAAAUCUUCAAUGUUUAAUUUCCUGAUAAAUUCUCGCACGGUUUCAUGUAUUUUGAAAACAAAAUCUCCACAUCUGUGAGGUGGCCUCCGCCGCUGCAGCAAAGUUAAGUAUUAUACUAAUUAUAGUGAGGCUCAUCUGCAGUAGUGCUGCAGCUGAGGCACUCCUAGACCCACAUGUUAGUGACUCAACUGUAAAGCGGUAUUAUUGAUAUUAUUGGUCUCUCUAGCAAUAGAAAACCUUUAUACGCUUUCCACUUGUGCAAUAUUCCACAUGGCUAAUAACAUCAAUGCUUUUGAAAUUUGCUAUGUGCAGCAAGGCUACCUUCAAAAGGUUUGAGCUAUCUCUAAGUCACCCUACGUUAUUUGGAGAUGUCACACAAGAGACUCCGCCAACAAUCUAGCUUUUGUAACACUGUUCAAUAUUUGUGGGACUAGAUGCUAGCAAUUAUUUAUCCACAUCGAUCCUCCCUUUCCAUACUCACAAGGCCCAUUGCAUUGCUCCUCUCCUCAGUUCCUUAGGGGUCCACUUGUGACUCGAAUAACAUGCCAUGAGCUAGUGGGAAAUUAACCCCCAUCAUAAUCUUUUUUGGUGCUCCUCCCUCAUCUACAUCAACUAGAAUUUGACUGAUUUCUCUCUCCAUUGGGAACGGCCAAAGUGUAUUCAUCUUAACCAUAUGUGAUCAACAUCUUAAAAAAACUCUAUGUGAUCAAGGUUUUCUGUCAUGUGUACUGUACAACUUAUUAGUUAAUUUACAUACAAUUAUAGCCGUGAUAUAAAUAGGAACAAGAGAGCCACAGACUUCGACACAUAUGUUGAUAACUGAUAUUAGGUAGAAUACACACGCAGCACACAACACAAAGCAUCUCGUAAGUUUCAUAUAUUCUCACGCAAAGAAAAGAUAGCUGUUAUAUCCUGGAUAAAUUCUCUACACCACUAAGGUGAACCUAUGCUCCAGACAGCAUGCUCAUGUAGUAGAUGCAAGCAUAUCGGGCUAUAUAAAAGGAUGGCAAGUAUUACCACCAUGAACACAAGCAGCCAAGAUUUCCCCAAGAAACACGUACUAACCAAAACCCCUCUACCCACUGCUCAUUUCACCCGGGAACAACAUGUCUGCCAACGGGAUGAGCAGGGUGUUCACCCCUGUGGUGCAAGGCAAGGACCAGCACAACAGCAUGAACAACAUGCAGGUAACUACACUAUAACUUGUAAUUGUAAGCAUUCGUUCUGACUAUCGUACAAGAAGAUCAUGUGGAGGUGGACUCGGGGAUUGAAUUGAACGAGCUGCUCGAUCUUGUAGAAUCAUAGCACGGGCAACAACACAAGUGUCCCUGUGACUGGCACUUCCUUCACCGGUGGCUCCUUCUUCAGUGGCAACUCAGUUAACGCGCCGCCGCCGCAGGUGAAAAAUACUCCUAUCAUAUUUUCAUUAAUCAGUUUCGAACAGAGUAAUAAUAUGCUUUAGUUUUGUUUCGCAUUUAGGGCCCAAGCCAUUACUCUACCUUUGGCAUCGGGGGAAAUUCCAGCUUCUGAUCAUGGGGCCGGCAGUGCCGCAGUGGCAGCAGGACUACCAGCUACAGCCUGAACUAAUUAAGUAGCACGAGCUUGCAAGAAUAUAUAUGUAUGUUUGAAUAAAGUCAUGAUAGCUUGCUAGCUACCUCGAUCAACGAAGCAACACAGUCCUGUUAUGAUCUAUACGAACCUGCAAGUGCAAAGAAUAAAGCAAGUAGCUCGAUCAGCGGAGCAACGCAGUCCUGUUAUGUAUUACUCCCUCCUCCCAAAUUAUAAGAAUUUUUAGCUUUUCUAAGUACAUAGUUCUUACUUUGCUAUGCACCUAAAUAUAAGUGUAUGUUUAGCUAUAUACAAACAUCUAUGCUAGAAAAACCAAAAGGACCUACAAUUUGAGGAAAUAUCUUCUAUACUGCUAAUGCCCUCAAAGCAAAUGGCACGAAUUUACAAUUUUACAUUGUGCAUCACUCUGGGCACACACGUUUGGUUUAUUGCCAACGUGCGCCUCGCCAUUUUUUGGCGCGCCCAUACAAAUUUGGCCAGUGCUUGAAUCGGUGCCGCUACCUUAGCGAACCCAUGCCCCUGCGCCCGUGCCAGAGGAGAGCUAGUUCAUUUUCUUGCCUAAGCAUCAUCGGCAAAACGAGCAUGACAAAUUUGUUCGCCCGCGCAUUGGCUGGGUGAGUACGGGCUACAACCAAACAUGGCCACAAUAACAACGACAUACUCCC